GGUUUUCCGGGAGAGGUUUUAAUGAGGCAACGUUAGCACAUUACAAGCCCGAUAUGGUUAUGGCAUCCAAGGGGGAGUGUUAUAAAUCCAUGAUAUGGAUAUGUGGAUUGCCAUUAACCAUCAGGGAGGUUUACAUCUGACCCGACUAUCCGGUCCGUCUACACCCGGUCCGUCUACACCCGUCUCCGGUCCGUCUACAUCCGACCAAGACUAGUCAAGAUGAAGACUCAUUCAACCGGAGCAUUUAUGAGCUUUGACCAAGUCUAGAUAUUUGUGGUCAAUAUGUAAUAAAUGUGUAGAUACUCUCCUUUGUUGUAAACCCUUGGAACCUCCACUAUAUAUUGAUAGUGAGAGCUAAUGAGAAAGACACAACUUUCAAAGCAACACUUCUCUCAUAUUUCUAACAAUUAGGAUUAUAAGUGAUUAAUCAAUCAUUCUGUUCCAGACUUUUUAUUUCUGUUCUCACUAUUUUAAAUGAGCUUGGUCCACUAUUAUUAUUACUCCUACUAUUUAUUAUUAUGAUGAUUCAUUGGUUUGGUGGUGAUGUAUCCAAUUUGAAUUCAUUUUUCGUUACAACUUGUAUCAGCACAUAAUCCUCUUUAAUUCUUAUGCAGAUCCAUAGAAAACUUGUCUGUUGGCUUUUCUUUUUCUAUAUUUUAAAACUCAAAUAGCGUAUUUUUAUUAUUUAUAAGUACUGAAACAAAUGGUAUGGUUUAGAUAAUAAUAGCUUAUAAAGUGGAAACGAACACGAUAAUUGACUUUUAGGCGACGAUUUAUUUAAUCUAAAACAAAAUCUUCCUCGUAACCAAAUAUAAUGGGCGAGGAUGACAUUAGAUACCAAAUCUCUCGUUUCAAAUCUGAAAUGAAAAGAAAAAAUUUGUAAUAGGGAGGGGUGAAAGUGGGUCAAAAUAACUCGGUGGCCAAUUUGUAACGAAGUCAAGUUCGUCGUCGUAUACUAUAUAGUUUUAUUCAAGCAACUCAUCCACCCUCUCAUGUCAUGUAUCUAAAAACUAACUACAAACACGUGCAUGUGGUGGGAUUAGCAAAUCGGUUCCUCAAAGAAAACAUUUAGCUAGGGAAAGUUAAUAUUAUGUUAUUAUGGCUAAAUCUUCCUUAAUCAGACAUUAACAAUUUCAGAUUUUUCAUUAUCGUCUAUCAACAAAACUAAAUAUAAAAAGAGUAAUUACAAAAUGGCUGUUUUUUUUUACCACACAAAAUGACUGUUUUUUUUUUGCUAAAAAUUACAAAAUGGAUGUUACAACUUACAAAUGUAAGUCUGAUAGUGCCAAUUGCCAAACCCACACUCAAGAUUUUCGAGGAAGCGUCGGAAGGCAAAGGAUUCGGAUGGCCAAGAUAGAGAAGGAGAGCCACCCACAUGCAAGUCAGGUUCUCAAAACGCAGAGCUGGUCUCUUCAAGAAAGCAAGCAGCUACACACUUUGUGCGGUGUAGAGGUUGCAAUCAUCGUAUACUCUCCCGUUAAUAAGCAUUUCUCGUUUGGCCAUCCAAACGUCUACUCUGUAUUGAAAUCGCUACAGAAACAACACUUCCUGUGGGCAGCCAAGGCAACCGAAGGAAAACACAGGAGCGAGUUAAGUUUGGUGUUGAGCCAGGUCGAAGAAGAGAGGUGGGGAGAUGAGCAAAACUAAAAGAGAGAGUAAAAUGGACAUGAGUUUGCUUCAGUUACAUAAAAUGAAAGUUGAGCUAGAGGAGCUAAUGAACACAAUUGUGAUGCCUCCUUCUUGCAUGAACAAAAUGUCUACUGGUUUUUCUUGCAUUUAUUCUGGCUAUGGACAUGUUUGUUCCUGAGUCACACGCAGCAAAGUGUAACGAAAGACAGACUAAAUAAUAAAAAAAUUGAUGAUGUCCGUUUAUGGAUAAAGAUGUCAAUAAAAAAGUUGGUGGUUCAGCUGGGUACGAGCCAGCAGGCCAUGAUGGAUAUGAAUGGCGUUGAGCCGUUAUCCAUCCACUACUGAGAGAGGGAGGUGAUCGCUGCUCUGUGAAACCAGCCUCACGCAUUGCCCUCCACUUUAGGAACCGUCUGCGCCAAGCUUUCGCUCAACACACACGGACCACUCUCAGCUUGGGUUGGGCAGCCUAGAACAGUGCCACAUCAAAUCAGACCCGUUGGCCGAGCCAGUGUUCUACCAACUUAUCAUCCCCACAUGGGUUACAAGCACUCGUUACUGAGCUCGACAUAAAAUCAUUGGUUUAAGGACUUAUAUAAACACAACAAUUACAAGUCAAGUAACCGAUGUGGGACAAAAUAGAAGUUUUAGAUAAUUUUCUGUUGUACUACAAUACUAGCUUAAGAUCCGCGCAAUGGCGCAGAAUGAAUGUUAUAUAUAAAAAUAUUUUUUAUAUAUUAUUAUUUAUUUGUAUUCAUAUAUGUAUUAUGUAUAUAAUUAAAUUAGAAUAAGCACAUAAAUCAAAACAAUAUUACGAUAAUGUUUUGGUAAAUUAAUCAAAACAAUCAUUUUAUUUAUUUUAUAUGGUAUAUAAAUAAAUUUUAGUUACAUGGGCAUAGAUAUAUAGUAUAUUUUAAUAUUAAUAUUUAUUAUUGAAAAUUCAUAUUCAUAUGAUAAACACAAAUUUCUAAUGUACGAUUUUUUAAUGCAAAUUUCAAAAUUAAAAUAAUAAGGUU